AGUCGAGAGGUCCUGCGCCGAAAAUGUCCGGGGCUGAAACACGACACCGAAGCUUAGGACUCCUUUUAGGAGUGGUAGAGGAGCAUUGUUAGCGCAGCGAAGCUGUACCGAUAAGGAGCAGUGGAGUGCUAAGAAGAGAGAAUGCCGGAAUGAGUAGCGAGAGGAAGGUGAGAAUCCUUCCGGCCGAAUAUCCAAGGUUUCCAGAGUAAAGCUGAUCUGCUCUGGGUAAGUCGGGGCCUAAGGCGAGGUCGAAAGACGUAGUCGAUGGAUAACAGGUGGAGAUUCCUGUACUAUGUGUACCCAGAACUGUGGGGACGCAUGUGGAGAGCAUGAGCCGGGAAAGAGAAGACCGGUACAAGCGGGGUAGGAGUAAGGACAGCAAAUCUUCCUUACAAUCCGAAGACGUGAUGUGGACCGAACCAAAGUAGGGAAGCAUGUGAGCCAUGUGCCAAGAAAAGCCGCUAUUGUGAUACACAUACCCGUACCGUAAACCGACACAGGUGGAUGAGGAGAGAAUCCUAAGGCCGACGGAAGAAGCAUUGUUAAGGAACUCGGCAAAAUGACCCCGUAACUUCGGGAGAAGGGGUGCCUGCGAGAGCAGGCCGCAGAGAAUAGGCUCAAGCAACUGUUUAGCAAAAACACAGGUCUAUGCGAAACCGAAAGGUGAGGUAUAUGGGCUGACGCCUGCCCGGUGCUGGAAGGUUAAGAGGAGAGGUUAGCGCAAGCGAAGCUUUGAAUUUAAGCCCCAGUAAACGGCGGCCGUAACUAUAACGGUCCUAAGGUAGCGAAAUUCCUUGUCGGGUAAGUUCCGACCCGCACGAAAGGCGUAAUGAUUUGAGCACUGUCUCGACAAUGCAUCCGGUGAAAUUGAAGUACCAGUGAAGAUGCUGGUUACCUGCGCCAGGACGGAAAGACCCCAUGGAGCUUUACUCCAGCUUGAUACUGGGAUUCGAUACUGUAUGUACAGGAUAGGUGGGAGACGUUGAGCAUAGAACGCCAGUUUUAUGUGAGUCGCUGUUGGGAUACCACCCUUGCAGUAUUGGAUUUCUAACCUGCACCCAUGACCUGGGUGGGGGACAAUGUCUGGCGGGGAGUUUGACUGGGGCGGUCGCCUCCGAAAGGGUAUCGGAGGCGCUCAAAGGUUCCCUCAGAAUGGUUGGAAACCAUUCGAAGAGUGCAAAGGCAGAAGGGAGCUUGACUGCGACACCGACGGGUGGAGCAGGUACGAAAGUAGGACUUAGUGAUCCGGUGGUAUAAAGUGGGAUUGCCAUCGCUCAACGGAUAAAAGCUACCCUGGGGAUAACAGGCUUAUCACUCCCAAGAGUUCACAUCGACGGAGUGGUUUGGCACCUCGAUGUCGGCUCAUCGCAUCCUGGGGCUGUAGUAGGUCCCAAGGGUUGGGCUGUUCGCCCAUUAAAGCGGUACGCGAGCUGGGUUCAGAACGUCGUGAGACAGUUCGGUCCCUAU
rnacentral:rRNA from 1 species